ensembl:piRNA 21ur-1763 ncRNA
UGAUUCACUCGUUUGAAGAGA